AAUAGAUACCCGGGUAGUCCACGCCGUAAACGAUGUCGACUUGGAGGUUGUGCCCUUGAGGCGUGGCUUCCGGAGCUAACGCGUUAAGUCGACCGUCUGGGGAGUACGGCCGCAAGGUUAAAACUCAAAUGAAUUGACGGGGGGCCCGCACAAGCGGUGGAGCAUGUGGUUUAAUUCGAUGCAACGCGAAGAACCUUACCUACUCUUGACAUCCAGAGAACUUAGCAGAGAUGCUUUGGUGCCUUCGGGAACUCUGAGACAGGUGCUGCAUGGCUGUCGUCAGCUCGUGUUGUGAAAUGUUGGGUUAAGUCCCGCAACGAGCGCAACCCUUAUCCUUUGUUGCCAGCGGUUAGGCCGGGAACUCAAAGGAGACUGCCAGUGAUAAACUGGAGGAAGGUGGGGAUGACGUCAAGUCAUCAUGGCCCUUACGAGUAGGGCUACACACGUGCUACAAUGGCAUAUACAAAGAGAAGCGACCUCGCGAGAGCAAGCGGACCUCAUAAAGUAUGUCGUAGUCCGGA
rnacentral:rRNA from 1 species